rnacentral:rRNA from 1 species
AACGAACGCUGGCGGCAUGCCUAACAUAUGCAAGUCGAACGAAACCUUCGGGUCUAGUGGCGCACGGGUGCGUAACGCGUGGGAACCUGCCCUUAGGUUUGGAAUAACUCCCCGAAAGGGGUGCUAAUACCGGAUAAUGUCUUCGGACCAAAGAUUUAUCGCCUUUGGAUGGGCCCGCGUGGGAUUAGCUAGUUGGUAGGGUAAAAGCCUACCAAGGCGACGAUCCAUAGCUGGUCUGAGAGGAAGAUCAGCCACACUGGGACUGAGACACGGCCCAGAAUCCUACGGGAGGCAGCAGUGGGGAAUAUUGGACAGUGGGCGGAAGCCUGAUCCAGCAAUGCCGGGUGAGUGAUGAAGGCCUUAGGGUUGUAAAGCUCUUUUACCCGGGAUGAUAAUGACAGUACCGGGAGAAUAAGCUCCGGCUAACUCCGUG